rnacentral:rRNA from 1 species
ACGAACGCUGGCGGCUGCUUAACACAUGCAAGUCGAACGGAGUGGCGAACGGGUGAGUAACGCGUGAGCAACCUGCCUAUGACAGUGGGAUAGCCUCGGGAAACCGGGAUUAAUACCGCAUAGUCAUAGAUGGGCUCGCGUCUGAUUAGCUAGUUGGUGAGAUAACAGCCCACCAAGGCGACGAUCAGUAGCCGGUCUGAGAGGAUGAACGGCCACAUUGGAACUGAGACACGGUCCAAACUCCUACGGGAGGCAGCAGUGGGGAAUAUUGCACAAUGGGGGAAACCCUGAUGCAGCGACGCCGCGUGCGGGAUGACGGCCUUCGGGUUGUAAACCGCUUUCAGCCAUGACGCGGUAGUGGCAGAAGAAGCACCGGCUAACUACGUGCCAGCAGCCGCGGUAAUAC